CCGAGAUCGUGCAGCUGCACUCCAGCCGCGCGACACAGCAGACUUUUACUGUCUCAAAAAAAGAAAGAAAAGCUGAUUCUCCCCUUCUUGUUAGCGGUGGCAGUUACCCCCUGUAUAGGUAGGGGUCAGCAGUAACCUUAGUUCUUGCCUCCUCAGAAGAAAUAAUUCCACGAAGGGCAUAAGGCAGGAUAGACCUAGACAAGUUUCAGAAUAGAAGUAAAAGUUUAUCAAAAAGCUUUAGAACGGGACGGAAAGAAAAGGAGGAAAGUACAACUUGGAAGACUGCCAAGCAGGCGACUUGAGAAACCAAGUGCGCAGCUUGACCUGUUGACUUGAAGUUUUAUAUGUUGGCAUACUUUGGGGAACUUGCAUUGCUUCUCCCCACUCCUGAGAUCUUACUGGGAAGCUACUGAUCAGUUUCAGGUGUUUUCUAUUAGGAGACUGCCUUUCGCUGGCCCCGGUGAACGUUAGAGAAACAGUUAAGAACCGCCUGACCAUCGUUUGAUUGUCACCCAAUAGUCCUGGUAUGUGUGGGGUGGGGAGCGCUCUCCUGUUCUGCUCAUACCUAACUAGUUAACAUUCUGCCCCAG
rnacentral:lncRNA from 1 species